ensembl:lncRNA
AUGGGGAAUGUAUUGUGUAUGUUCAUCUUACUGAUUAAUGAAUAAAGUACUUGUUUGGCCAAUGAGACAACAAGUUAGACGGGACUAGGAGUCAAAGAGGAUUCUGGGAAAUGUAGUAGAGAAGUGGUGAUCCAGACAGGAAGUGACAUAGCAAGGAGACUCAUUUAAACAAGGAGAAACAGGAAAUGUCCCUUUUCCCCUUCCUCCUCCAGCAGCGCCAUGUGAGCCACCAGCAAGAGAGGGUGCCAGCAAAAGGCAUCCUCUAUAAGAUAAGUCUUAUAAAAUAUAUAGAUUUAUGAUAAUUAAGACUGAGCUAAAAGAUGAGGAAUCCUAGUCAUUGGCCAAGCAGCAUUUGAACCUGAUACAGGUUUCUGUGUAUUAAUUUGGGCCCUAACUCGGGCAUGCAGCUGGUAUAAAGCACACAUGUGGCAGUGGGGCUCGUCAGCUUUUGGCAGAAAGAUUUAUUGUAACAGAAUGGUGUCAGUAAGCAGGAUGACCCCAUGCCCCAAGAAAGUGGGAAACCUGCCGCCACAGCCUGCCCUAUCUGGCCACUGAGCUGCAUCGGAGCAGCUUCCAUACGCUCACACCAUUGCCGUGCUCUUGGUCAUUGGACUCCGCACUCCUGAGAUGAUAAAGACAGAUCCAGAUAAAGAAAAACCCCUAAAGGUUUACACUGCAUUUAAAAAUAUAUGUAGGCUUGUGAGAGAAAAAAAUAACUGGAGGAAAUAGAGUAGCCAGUUGUGGUGGAGCACGCUGGUAGGAUUUGCUGAAGGAAGUAGAGGCAGGCGGAUUUCCACAGAGAAACCCUGUCUCAGAAAAAAGAAAAAGGAAGUAAAAGUAAAAUAGUAAAAAAAGCCACCUAGAGAUGAAAAAUACACAGAAUCUGGAUACUUUAUGCCAUAUUGUUGUCUUUAAAUUGUUUGAUUGCCGAGGAAAGACUUACUGCUGCUAAAAUACAUUUGAUUAUAAAUGCUGCUAAAUUAAUCCAACUUACACAUUUUAAAAAUGCUUUGACUUCAAAAUUUAAGUCUAAGGACAGGUGACUUGGAAAAAGAAUUUCUGUUUGUGUUUCCACAGAAAAUAAGAAGCUAUGGAUUCCUUCCAGACUAAUAUGGUUUGAUCAAGCAAGACCCUCUGAAGCUGAGACGAUACAGCCUUACAGACUACAAAAACAAGGACUUGGUCAGGUUUCUAUGUUUUAUCAUAAUCCCUAUGACACGAACAUUGCCCCUAAUCAGCAGGAAGCAGUUUAGAAAGAACGACGCCCAAAUCCCCAAAUAUUGUUUAUAAAUGUUUGUUUUCAUUUAAAUGGGUUUGAUUAUAAAUGAUAAUGAGCAUAGUCAAUCUCUUUUUAAAGAAAGAAAAGGGGGACUAGGAUAUAGGAAUGAAUACUUUGCAUUGGUAUAGAUUUUCAUUUAUUGAUACAACAUUAAGGUAAAUUUUGUGAUAUGUAUAUGUCUUUUCUUGUUUAGGCAUUAUGUUUAUACAGAUCUUUUUAAAUGAUAUGCAUAAUUAAAUAAGGUUAUAUAAUCGCCUAUGAUAGUCAGAACUUAUAAUUAGGUUAGUCAGGUUUUCUAGAUUUACAAAGAUGUAUUUGAGAUGGAUAGGUAUUCUUCAAACCUUUCAAAGACCUACAGAAAUAUGGCAUUUAAAUAGUUUAGGGUUUUUCUUGGCAGUGAGACACAACUGCUCCUGGCACACCAAUUACCUCAGAAAGGAGGAUGGGCAUGGAAUAAACUUGUUAUGGAGUUUGCUUUCAACAUAGCAAGAUUAGCCACUUGGGCAAGAAACUGCUCUUGCCUGGACUGUUUGUUGCUGAAUAAACUGGACAUGCAGGACCCACAAGACAGUGACUGCUGAACUUAUAAAACAAGACAGUACAGUGUUCCUGUUGAAAUGGAGAAGUGUGUCAGACACACUGUGGCCUACAGUCUGCAAUGGAUGCCCCAAUGUUACAAAGGAACUUUGGGUGACUGUCCAUGUAGCGGAUGUCUCUGUCAAUUCUAGAGUUUAUAUACUUUCCUUCUGUGGUCUUUGAUAGAGUUGAAGACAGAUAGUUAUGGUUAUAGUUUUCUUCAGUUAUUAUAAAAGAUAAGUUAUCCUUAUCUUUUAUAUGUACUAUGGGGAAUGUACUAUGCAUGUUCAUCUUACUGAUUAAUGAAUAAAGUACUUGUUUGGCCAAUGAGACAACAAGUUAGACGGGACUAGGAGUCAAAGAGGAUUCUGGGAAAUGUAGUAGAGAAGUGGUGAUCCAGACAGGAAGUGACAUAGCAAGGAGACUCAUAUUUAAACAAGGAGAAACAGGAAGUGUCCCUUUUCCCCUUCCUCCUCCAGCAGCGCCAUGUGAGCCACCAGCAAGAGAGGGUGCCAGCAAAAGGCAUCCUCUAUAAGAUAAGUCUUAUAAAAUAUAUAGAUUUAUGAUAAUUAAGACUGAGCUAAAAGAUGAGGAAUCCUAGUCAUUGGCCAAGCAGCAUUUGAACCUAAUACAAGAUUCUGUGUAUUAAUUUGGGCCCUAACUGGGGCAUGCAGCUGGUAUAAAACACACAUGUGGCAGUGGGGCUCGUCGGCUUUUGGCAGAAAUAUUCAUCAUAACACCCACCCACAGAGAGAGAGAGAGAGAGAGAGAGAGAGAGAGAGAGAGAGAGAGUUGCCUUCUAUACAUAUGUAGAGACAUUCCCAGUUUAAUUUCUGGAUGAAAUUUUUCUGGUCUACUUUAUUUCUACUUCACUUAUGUUUUAAUUACUGUGCAUUUAGUAGGGGUUUUAUUUGGCUGCUGUAUCUACAAAUACAGCAAAUUCAUUUUAUUUAAAUCUUUGUCUAAUGAUCUUUUAAAUAAAGCAUUCAUAUUAAAUUCUUUUGCUUGUAUUUUCAGCUAUGUUUUGAGGCUACAUGUAAAUUAAAAGCAUGAUAGCUUGAAUACUUUUAGGAGUGUCCUAAAAUUAAUGAGACUUGAUAAUGAGAACAGAGUUGAAUUUUCUAAUUUGAAUUCAAUUAAAAAUUAGAGGAGGCAAACUUUGAGGUCUUAUAUAUGCUCAAGUCAUGCCCAGUAAGACCACUUUCUGCAAGCCAAGAUGUAGGACGCUCUACUGCUUCCCCAGCACCUGAUUGCCUGCAUGCUGGCAUAUCAUGAUGAUAAUGGACUAACCCUGAAUAUGUAAGCCACCUCAUUUAUGAGAGUUGUCAUGAUUACAGUGUCUCUUCACAGCAACAGAAAACCAAACUAAGAAUUCUUCUGAAGUGACUAAAAUGUAAACAAACCUUUGGUAAAUACAAUGAAGGAAGUGGUGCACAAAUUAUUGUCAAGAAUUUCUUAGGGGCUGGAGAGGUGGCUCAGCAGUUAAGAGCACUGGCUGCUCUUCCAGAAGACCCAGGUUUCAUAGCCAGCACCCACAUGGUGGCUCACAACUGUUUGUAACUCCAGUUCCAGGAGCUCCAGCAUCCUCUUCUGGAGCCUCCAAAGACAUCAAACACACAUGGUGCACAGACACAUGUAGGCAAGGCACCCAUAUACAUAGAAAUUUUUAAAACAUCUCAAAAAACAAGCCAGGUGUGAUGGCAAAAACUACUGAUUGCUGGCACUUGAAGACUAAAGAUGGUGGAUAACAAGUUUGACAGCAUGGCCUAGACAGCAAGACUGCAACUUUAAUUUUUAGAUAAAUAUUGAUAACAUGAAGAUGCCCUUGCCGGUAUAGUACUUGCCUUAUAAGCAUGAGAACCUAAGUUGGAGCCUCAUGGCCCACAUAAAAAGGCAGCAGAACAUACUUAUCAUCCCAUAGAUGAACAUGAUGGGAAUGGAGGAGACAGGGAGAUACCUGGAAGCAGAUGCAAGCUAGCCUGGGUGGAGGUCCACUCAGUGAGACAUCUUGUCUCAAAGAAAAGGAGGAAGACACACGAGGUAGUCCUCAGACCAUACACACACAUCAUAAAGAGGGACACAAAUACACCAUAGACAGACAAACACACAGCUAAAUACACAAACCAUAAAGAGGCAUACACACUAUAGACAAACACAAACCACAGAUGCACACCAUAAAGAGGCAUACAUACACAUAUACACACAACAUAGAGAAACACAUACAUACACACAUAUGCAUGACACCUGCAACCGUGCUCUCUCUCUCUCUCUCCCUCUCUCUCAGAAAAUACAGAUUAUCAAAACUGGAUCAAGAUAAGACAGGAAGUCUGAAUAGACAAGAAUGUAAACCUGCAACCUGAAAUGCUUGUGACUCCAGAGCUCCAGAGUGUGAGGCAAGAAAAGUAGUCCAUUCCAGGUGGUUUACAAACACAUGGAAUAGUCCUCACCACACAAGAACUACCUCCACAGAACAAGAUGGCAGAAAUGAAGACUUGUGUUCUGUUGACUUCUCCUUGGAGACAAACCCUAUCCAUUUCAGAUAGUGCUGAGAAUUACAGACCUAAGAAACAAUCCCAUCAAUUGCAACUUGGUAAACUAAUGAGUUUAGUUUGGGUCACUUAUGGGUGAAGCAAUGCCUAAAAAAGCAUGGGCACUACACCAUCAAAAACCAGUUGUCUGGUCCCCCAAGGUAUCUGCAAGCUUGCCCAUAUCCCCAUUUGGAGAGGUGAGUAUCUGGGACCCCGGCUAGAGGACACUGCCCUGUGGGUCCUAAGCAACCAGGGCACUUGCUGUGUCCCACUCAUACCCACUGAAGCCCCAGAGUCCUGGAAGCAACCUCCCCACACCCUAGACUAUCACAAAUGACAUCUGUGUGUACAAGAGCUUUGACCCUGCCUAUACCAGGAGAACCCCAGAGCUGUAUCAGCAUCUGGCAGCACCUGUAGGAAAAGCAACUACCUAAGCUACAGGACCCACAUACACCAAUUGAAUGAAGGUAGACCCCCCCUGAAGCACAGGCCCCACCUGCACCCACUGGAGGAAGAGAUGGGUAGACAACAGUGUAAGAAUACAUUCAACAACAUAAAUAGCAGUAUGGCACCACAAAAACUAAAGGUUCUACACCAGCAAGACCUGAGCAUCCCAACACCAAUGAAGCAGAUGAAAACAUUAAAAAUAACUUUAUGAAGAUAAUAGAGAAUCAUAAAGAGAAAGUGAAAAAUCCCCUUAAAGAAAUGGAGGAAAAGAAGUCAAGAAAUUGCUUAAUGAAAGGAAGGAAAUCAAACAGGUGAAAGAAACAUUUCAAACAGUUCAAGACUUGAAAACUAAAAUAGAGGCAAUAAAGAAAACACAAAUCAAAGGAAUGUUCGAAAUGGAAAAUCUGGAUAAACAAUCAGGAACUAGAGAUGCAAGCAUAACCUACAAAAUAUAAGAGAUGGAAGAAAGAAUCUCAGGUGUUGAAGAUCCCCCCACAUUCACUCAUCCUCCAAUGAGUAUCAACAAAGCAUGGCAUAUCAAGUUGAGUGGACAGUGGUUAUUGCAGAAACUCGUUAUCAGGACAAAGCUAUGAGAAUAAAUGACUGUUGUAGGGACAUCAUCUUCUCCAAGAUGUAGGGGACGUCACAAAAGAA